rnacentral:rRNA from 1 species
UACGUAGGGGGCUAGCGUUGUCCGGAUUUAUUGGGCGUAAAGAGCGUGUAGGCGGCCAGGUAGGUCUGGUGUGAAAACUCGAGGCUUAACCUCGAGAUGUCAUCGGAAACCAUCUGGCUAGAGUCCGGAAGAGGAGAGUGGAAUUCCUGGUGUAGCGGUGAAAUGCGCAGAUAUCAGGAAGAACACCAAUGGCGAAAGCAGCUUUCUGGGACGGUACUGACGCUGAGACGCGAAAGCGUGGGGAGCGAACAGG